CAGGGGGGCUCAGUGAGUUCUAGCCACAUGAAUCUCCUUCCUGGUGUGUGGUUGACCACGUGAAGACCAAGCUUCCACCCAAAGUUCAGGUUGUGGAGCAGUGUUAUUUGCUCUGUGUCACUGUAUGGCUCCCCUGGGAGGCAGAAGCUGCGGCAGGAGCUGUGCACAACCCAGACACUGGCUGGCACUUACCAGAAAUAGCUGCAGACUCGCAGAACGUUCCAGCUUUGCUCUCUGAGGGAAGUUGCCUGCCGUGAGACGCCUGGGGAUUUAUCUGGCUAUGGCUCAGCUAACUUACACGCUUGGUCUCCUCUCCCACAUCUGCUUCCUCUUCCACCUCAUGCCUGGCACCUUCUCUUUCUGGCUGGUGAGCACAGAGGCUCUGCAAGAGCCAGUUCACUGCUCUCUGU